UGACUGCGGAACUGUCAAGGAUAAAGGGAAUCUAUGUGGAGCAAGCACACAGAGUGGCUGUAAUAUUUACUUGACCAUGUUUAUCAUUUUGCCAACAGAUGCUGGAAGUCUGAGACAAUACACGGAUGUUGCCUGAUUGGGUUGACCUUGAUUCCUUCUCUAGUCUGUUCCCAGAUAAGGACCUACUGAAAUGACAAGUUGAAUAGAAAAGCUUAUUAAUACUUCUACAGUCCAGAGUUGCAUCUUUAUGGAGAGAGAUUGUCAUUUCUCCAAGCAAAUGGGGCUGAAGUCCAGGAACCAUUUUAUCAGAGGAUGCCUCUUUUUAUGAUAUUGCUCUCACAAUACAACGUCAUGGUGCUGUGGCACAUGGAAACCUGGGUUCCUGGAAGCUCUUCUCGGAAAUGCCCCCUCCAAAUGGCCCUACACAAGCCAACCUGUACCUACCACGCUGGGCCAACUCUCUGGGCAAUUGACUUUAACAUACAACUUCCCAGACCUUACCCCAAACCCUCAGAGUCUCGUUUGGGGAGGCCCAGGUGGUUUUAUGCCAGGAUGCAACCAGAGGCGGAGUCCUGAUGUGGCUGGUGAGUUCACCUGUGGCCACUGCAGUGUUCCUUCUACUGCUGGCCCUGACUUUGCCUUAAGCAUAGCAGAGGGUGAUCAGAGUCAUUGCUAUCAUCACAGGGGGAUUCUUCUCAACAUGUGAAAAGCUAUGAUCCAGGAGGGAACGGAGGAAUGCAGCAGAAGGAAAAAUUUAUUUUCUCAGUGCUGUUAGUAGUAUUCACAUUUAUAUCUUGGUGUGAUCUUGGAAAACAUUAGGUAGGCAGUUAACAAUAAGGGGUCAAGUUCAGCAUGCCCAGG